GUGCCAGCAGCCGCGGUAAUACGGAGGGUGCAAGCGUUGUUCGGAAUUAUUGGGCGUAAAGCGCGUGUAGGCGGUCUGUUAAGUCUGAUGUGAAAGCCCCGGGCUCAACCCGGGAAGUGCAUUGGAAACUGGCAGACUUGAGUACGGGAGAGGGUAGUGGAAUUCCGAGUGUAGGGGUGAAAUCCGUAGAUAUUCGGAGGAACACCGGUGGCGAAGGCGGCUACCUGGACCGAUACUGACGCUGAGACGCGAAAGCGUGGGGAGCAAACAGGAUUAGAUACCCCCGUAGUCC
rnacentral:rRNA from 1 species